CCUACGGGAGGCAGCAGUGAGGAAUAUUGGUCAAUGGGCGCGAGCCUGAACCAGCCAAGUCGCGUGAGGGAAGACGGUCCUAUGGACUGUAAACUUCUUUUGUCAAGGGACAAAAUCAGGCUCGAGAGCCUGACCGAGGGUACUUGAAGAAAAAGCAUCGGCUAACUCCGUGCCAGCAGCCGCGGUAAUACGGAGGAUGCGAGCGUUAUCCGGAUUUAUUGGGUUUAAAGGGUGCGUAGGCGGACUGUUAAGUCAGCGGUAAAAGCCCGGGGCUCAACCCCGGCGAGCCGUUGAUACUGGCUGUCUGGAGAUGUCGAGAGGUAUGCGGAAUGCGCAGUGUAGCGGUGAAAUGCUUAGAUAUUGCGAAGAACCCCGAUUGCGAAGGCAGCAUACCGGCGGCGAUCUGACGCUGAGGCACGAAAGCGUGGGUAUCGAACAGGAUUAGAUACCCGUGUAGUC
rnacentral:rRNA from 1 species